CCUCAACCUCCCAAGCUCAGGCAAUCCUCCAGCCUCAACCUCCCAAGUAGUUGAGACUAUAGGCACAUGCCACCAAGCCCAGCUAAUUUUUUGUGUAUUUUUGUAGAGACAGGGUUUCAUCAUGUAGCUAAAUUAUCACAGAAACAGCCAAGAUGAAGUGUUUCACCAGAACCUUCCUAUGUUGCAACCCUGCUUAUUAAAUUUAAAUUUUAGUGUGGGAAGUAUACUUUUCUAUGGUAACUUUUUUUUUUUUUUUGAGACAGAGUUUCACUAUUGUCACCCAGGCUGGAGUGCAGUGGUGCGAUCUCGGCUCACUGCAAGCUCCACCUCCAGGGUUAAAGUGAUUCUUCUGCCUCGGCCUCCCAAGUAGCUGGGAUUACAGGCGCUCACCCCCAUGCCCAGCUAAUUUUUGUAUUUUCAGUAGAGACAGGGUUUCACCAUGUUGGUCUCAAACUCCUGACCUCAGGUGAUCCACCCACCUUGGCCUCCCAAAGUUCUGGGAUUACAGGCGUGAGCCACCAUGC
rnacentral:lncRNA from 1 species